rnacentral:rRNA from 1 species
CAUGGCUCAGAUUGAACGCUGGCGGCAUGCCUUACACAUGCAAGUCGAACGGCAGCAUAGGAGCUUGCUCCUGAUGGCGAGUGGCGAACGGGUGAGUAAUAUAUCGGAACGUGCCCUAGAGUGGGGGAUAACUAGUCGAAAGACUAGCUAAUACCGCAUACGAUCUACGGAUGAAAGUGGGGGAUCGCAAGACCUCAUGCUCCUGGAGCGGCCGAUAUCUGAUUAGCUAGUUGGUGGGGUAAAAGCUCACCAAGGCGACGAUCAGUAGCUGGUCUGAGAGGACGACCAGCCACACUGGGACUGAGACACGGCCCAGACUCCUACGG